CCUACGGGUGGCUGCAGUGAGGAAUAUUGGUCAAUGGGCGUAAGCCUGCACCAGCCAAGUCGCGUGAGGGAUGAAGGCUCUAUGGGUUGUAAACCUCUUUUAUAAGGGAAUAAAGAGCGGGACGUGUCCCGUCUUGUAUGUACCUUGUGAAUAAGCAUCGGCUAACUCCGUGCCAGCAGCCGCGGGAAUAAGGAGGAUCCGAGCGUUAUCCGGAUUUAUUGUGUUUAAAGGGUGCGUAGGCGGCCUGUUAAGUCAGCGGUGAAAGUGUGGGGCUCAACCAUAGACUCGCCGUUGAAACUGGGAGGCUUGAGUAGGUUGGAGGCAGGCGGAAUGCGUGGUGUAGCGGUGAAAUGCUUAGAUAUCACGCAGAACCCCGAUGGCGAAGGCAGCCUGCC
rnacentral:rRNA from 1 species